CUGCUGCCUCCCGUAGGAGUUUGGACCGUGUCUCAGUUCCAAUGUGGGGGACCUUCCUCUCAGAACCCCUACGCAUCGUCGGCUUGGUGGGCCGUUGCCCCACCAACUACCUAAUGCGCCGCAUGCCCAUCCGUGACCGGGGUCGCCCCCUUUGGCCGGCAGGGGAUGUCCCCCUCCCGGCAUUAUGUUGUAUUAGGCGGGAUUUCUCCCGGUUAUCCAUCUGUCACGGCCAGGUUGCAUACGUGUUACUCACCCGUGCGCCGGUCGCCGGCG
rnacentral:rRNA from 1 species